rnacentral:tmRNA from 1 species
GGGGACGUUUAUGGAUUCGACAGGGGUCCCCCGAGCUCAUGAAGCGUGUCGGAGGGUUGUCUUCGUUACCAACACAUCAGUUUAUAAUAACUGGCAAAACUAACAAUAAUUUCGCAGUAGCUGCCUAAUUGCACUCUGCAUCACCUAACAGCAUCGCCUAUGUGCUGUUAACGUGAUUCAACUUUAGUAGGAUACGCUGCUCGUCACUGCCGUUUGAAGUCUGGCGAGAAGAGAUGAAUCAAACUAGCAUCAUGUUGGCUGUCUAUCGCCUUGCAUGAUGUGAAAUUGAACGAUAGACUACACACGUAGAAACAUUUGUAUCAGGACCUUUGGACGCGGGUUCAAA